AAUAUCCAAAUAGGUCACUUCCUUGAGAUUCUCGUUUUCCGUCUUCAUACCAUCACAUUUCCCACGAGAAAGACUACUAAUUGUUAUGAGAUUGCAGCAGAAAAAGAAAACUAGUGUUGGAAGAAAUAUCCAUCUGGUUCAGUUCCAAGUUGGGAGAAAGACACUGGAAACAUGGAGGCUGAUUGGAAAGAUGGUUUAAUGAUGAACAGAACCAAUAGCGUUUAUUGUUCUGAUGCAGCUGACAAAAUGGAGUUGAGGGGAGUUAUGACAGUUGCAGCAUCUCCAUGGUCACAUGAUCAAAAUUCGGGCACUUGGCAACUGGUAUCUAGUUAUGACAGCUGCACUGUCCCAGGGUCAUAUGAUCACCAUCUGUAAUCUUCCCAGGUGGCUUCUGACAAGACAAAUGCUUGUUUGAAUAUUGCCAGGAUUCUGAUCCUGAACUGGAUGAAAUUGCAGUGAACAAAGCUAUGGUUUAACUUUCUGACUGUUGAAAAAAAGAAGUAUCUGCUUUUAUUUAUGCAAUUAAUAUUAGAAAAAUAAAACUGGAAAUAUAA